rnacentral:rRNA from 1 species
UACAGAGGCUGCAAGCGUUAUUCGGAUUUACUGGGCGUAAAGGGUGCGUAGGCGGUCGGGCGCGUCAGAUGUGAAAUCCCGAGGCUCAACCUCGGAACUGCGUCUGAAACUACUCGACUAGAGUACUGGAGAGGGUAACGGAAUUCACGGUGUAGCAGUGAAAUGCGUAGAUAUCGUGAGGAACACCAGAGGCGAAGGCGGUUACCUGGACAAUUACUGACGCUGAGACACGAAAGCAUGGGGAGCAAAAGGG